rnacentral:rRNA from 1 species
AACGAACGCUGCGGCAGGCCUAACACAUGCAAGUCGAGCGAGGCAGCAAUGCCUAGCGGCGGACGGGUGAGUAACGCGUGGGAACGUACCCUUUGGUUCGGAAUAGCCCUGGGAAACUGGGAGUAAUACCGGAUACGGUCGAGAGACGAAAGAUUUAUCGCCGAAGGAUCGGCCCGCGUUGGAUUAGGUAGUUGGUGGGGUAAUGGCCUACCAAGCCGACGAUCCAUAGCUGGUUUGAGAGGAUGAUCAGCCACACUGGGACUGAGACACGGCCCAGACUCCUACGGGAGGCAGCAGUGGGGAAUCUUAGACAAUGGGCGCAAGCCUGAUCUAGCCAUGCCGCGUGAGCGAUGAAGGCCUUAGGGUUGUAAAGCUCUUUCAGGGGGGAAGAUAAUGACUGUACCCCCAGAAGAAGCCCCGGCUAACUCCGUGCCAGCCGCCGCGGUAAAAC